rnacentral:rRNA from 1 species
UACGGACGGGGCGAGCGUUGUUCGGAAUUAUUGGGCGUAAAGGGCGUGUAGGCGGCUUCAUAUGUCCGUGGUGAAAGCAUACGGCUCAACCGUAUUAAGCCUUGGAAACUGUGGAGCUUGAGGCUGGGAGGGGCUGGUGGAAUUCCCUGUGUAGCGGUGAAAUGCGUAGAGAUGGGGGAGAACACUCGUGGCGAAGGCGGCCAGCUGGACCAGUACUGACGCUGAGGCGCGAAAGCGUGGGGAGCGAACAGG